rnacentral:rRNA from 1 species
UACGUAGGGGGCAAGCGUUGUCCGGAUUCAUUGGGCGUAAAGAGCGUGUAGGCGGCCAGGUAGGUCGGUUGUGAAAACUGGAGGCUCAACCUUCAGAGGUCGACCGAAACCAUCUGGCUAGAGUCCGGGAGAGGAGAGUGGAAUUCCUGGUGUAGCGGUGAAAUGCGUAGAUAUCAGGAGGAACACCGGUGGUGUAGACGGCUUUCUGGACCGACACUGACGCUGAGACACGAAAGCGUGGGUAGCAAACAGG